rnacentral:rRNA from 2 species
GGGUUGUGAGGUUAAGCGACUAAGCGUACACGGUGGAUGCCCUGGCAGUCAGAGGCGAUGAAGGACGUGCUAAUCUGCGAUAAGCGCCGGUAAGGUGAUAUGAACCGUUAUAACCGGCGAUUUCCGAAUGGGGAAACCCAGUGUGACUCGUCACACUAUCAUUAACUGAAUCCAUAGGUUAAUGAGGCGAACCGGGGGAACUGAAACAUCUAAGUACCCCGAGGAAAAGAAAUCAACCGAGAUUCCCCCAGUAGCGGCGAGCGAACGGGGAGGAGCCCAGAGCCUGAAUCAGCAUGUGUGUUAGUGGAAGCGUCUGGAAAGGCGCGCGAUACAGGGUGACAGCCCCGUACACAAAAGCGCAUAUGCUGUGAGCUCGAUGAGUAGGGCGGGACACGUGGUAUCCUGUCUGAAUAUGGGGGGACCAUCCUCCAAGGCUAAAUACUCCUGACUGACCGAUAGUGAACCAGUACCGUGAGGGAAAGGCGAAAAGAACCCCGGCGAGGGGAGUGAAAAAGAACCUGAAACCGUGUACGUACAAGCAGUGGGAGCCCCACCACUAAGCCAGUGGUGAACUCCACAUACGCAUCCUUUGCUGAGGAUACGGUUAACGGAGCGAAAGCGACGUUCAACCGCAAAAGAAGCAGAGGGGGCUUAGUGGUGGGGUGACUGCGUACCUUUUGUAUAAUGGGUCAGCGACUUAUAUUCUGUAGCAAGGUUAACCGAAUAGGGGAGCCGGAGGGAAACCGAGUCUUAAUUGGGCGUUAAGUUGCAGGGUAUAGACCCGAAACCCGGUGAUCUAGCCAUGGGCAGGUUGAAGGUUGGGUAACACUAACUGGAGGACCGAACCGACUAAUGUUGAAAAAUUAGCGGAUGACCUGUGGCUGGGGGUGAAAGGCCAAUCAAACCGGGAGAUAGCUGGUUCUCCCCGAAAGCUAUUUAGGUAGCGCCUCGUGAAUUCAUCUCCGGGGGUAGAGCACUGUUUCGGCUAGGGGGCCAUCCCGGCUUACCAACCCGAUGCAAACUGCGAAUACCGGAGAAUGUUAUCACGGGAGACACACGGCGGGUGCUAACGUCCGUCGUGAAGAGGGAAACAACCCAGACCGCCAGCUAAGGUCCCAAAGUCAUGGUUAAGUGGGAAACGAUGUGGGAAGGCCCAGACAGCCAGGAUGUUGGCUUAGAAGCAGCCAUCAUU